UACGUAGGUGGCAAGCGUUGUCCGGAAUUACUGGGUGUAAAGCGCGUGUAGGCGGCAGGCCAAGUCUGCGGUGAAAGCGCCCGGCUCAACUGGGCGAGGUCCGUGGAAACUGGUCAGCUGGAGGACGGUAGAGGCGAGUGGAAUUCCCGGUGUAGUGGUGAAAUGCGUAGAGAUCCGGAAGAACACCGGUGGCGAAGGCGGCCUGCUGGGCGGCGACUGACGCUGAGGCGCGACAGCGUGGGGAGCAAACAGG
rnacentral:rRNA from 1 species